GCCAGGCAGGGACACGCCUCUGUGGACACUGGGAGGUUCUGGGACCUUAGCUCCAGACAGGCCGGUUACUUUGUAACCCCCCACUGUGUCCUGCAGCUGAUCCUUCAGGAGAGAAGGGCUAGAGACUGGUGUUCAGGGUCAGUGAGCACAUAAACAGAUGUCCUGGGAGUCAUUUGGGAGAGAAAAAGAGGACAUCCCAGGUUUUUGUGCCCACAGGAAAGACAAUAUCACUCUCACCACAUGAUUGAAAGAGCCAAGUAUGAGAAGAUAAAUGAGGAGACGCUUGGAGAAGUACAGGGGCACCACCAACACUUAAGCCUCCAUCUUCAGGCAAGAAAGUCUGUGAUAUGAAUGAAGGGAUCAUAAAAGGCACAUGGAAUCAAAGCUUUUGGUCAACUGCCAACAAGGUACAGAGGCCCAACAGCAAUCAUCGAAUGAACUUGGAAGUGGAUCCUCUCACCCCAGUUGAGCCUUCUGAUGACUGCAGCCCUGGCUGAUGCUUGACUACAACUUCAUCAGAAAUCCUCAUGAAGAUCCAGCACCUUCCAGUUAGCCCAUCUAUGAGAAAACCAAUGCUCCGAUGAGUGCAGUGACUUCCCAUGCCUGGUAAGUGGCAGAGCUUGGAUUGACCUUCCUGUCUGUUGGAUUCCAAAGCAGAGGGACCUGGGUUCUGUUUUCCCAGCUGGAAUGUCCCCAGCUGCAGGAUGAAGGCUGAGGAAAUGGGGACAUAAAAAGGAAACCUCUUUCUCUGAUGUGUUUUCUCUCCUCCCCCCUUUUUUCAUCCCAACCACAUUAGUUAGCACUUACUACAUCUAUUGUACAUAUGUGAUUCAGGGACAAGUAGGUUUAUUAGCAACAACAUGGGAGCCUUAGGAGGGGGAUACCUGGGCUCUUGAGUGACCUUGGGCAAGUUUCUGCACUUUUCUGGGCCUCAGUUUCUUUACCUACUACAUGGCAAUAAUAAUCCCUUUCCUGCCUUCUUCACCAGGAAACCAUGAGGACGGGGUGUAAAGGGACUGUGUAAAAUGUGAAAUGUAGUGAACACUAAAAGGUGUGUUUGGACUAAGGAGCACCCCUGACCUAGGGCUCAGACCUGUACAGCCACCUCUGUACAGAGGUGAGGGCUCCCUCUCCUCUCUCACCUGGGGCUAGGUUCGGGAGGUGGACAACACUGAGUGGCAUUGAGAGCAUCAACCCACUUUCUUCAGCCUCACCCUCUCCAUGCCUUCUCUCUUAGGCCAUGCUGCAGCCCUGCUAAACUAGUGGAAAUACCCCAAGCCUGCCAGGAGGUUUCUGUCUACUUUGUCUGUGCAGUUUCUUCUGCCUUGACACCCUUCCCAACUUCUCUUCCUGGUGCAUUCCCACUCGUCUUUCAAGACUGACCUUAGAUAUCCCACUUCUAGGAUGCCUCUCCUGACCUGGCUGUAGUCCUCCUACUUCUCUUGAUUGUUGCACCUGCCCCCUGCCUGAGCUCUUGGCCUUCAGCUUCUCUUUUCCACUCAAAGCCCCCAUGGUGCAACCAGCGGCCUUUCCAAAAUGCAAAUCUUGUCAUGUCACUCCCUGCUUAAAAUAACUGGCCAAUGGAAUAAUCCAUCAAUCAGUGCUUCAGGGGUUCCUCCUUGCCCUCAGGGAAGCAUCCACACCUUCAGCUGGGUCUCCAUGCUUGGUCCCUGCUGGUCUUUCCAGCCUCUGCUCUCUUCUGUCUCCUGAUUGCCCUGCACAUGCAGUGCCCUCCAGCCACAUUGCUCUUGUCACUGUAUCUCAGACACACCUCUCUCUAUCUUUGCUCGUCCUGUUGUUUUUCCUGCCCAUUUCCACCUUGUCCACUUGAGGAAGUCCUGCCUAAUCCUUAACACCAGGUCUGAUAUAACCUCUUGGAAGCCUUCCCUAUUGGCCCCAGGAAGAGUCCUUGGCUUCCUCUUCUUCCCUCUCCUGUAUGACUACUCAUGCUUUUGUUACUGUUUGUCGUCUGUUUACACUGAGAGUUUCCUGAGUAGAGACUGUAUCUGACACAUGGUUGUGUCCCCAGCAAUGCCAGGAGAAGGGCACAGAGCAGACAUGUAGGAUAUGUGUUGCUCAUGUGAGUGGCUGAAUGAAUGAAGGAAGGAAGGGUGAAUGAAUCCAACCUUGAACCAUCACUUCUUGGCCAGCCCUAGAACUGCUGUUUCCCAGGGUAAGCCCAUUUGAUAGCCAAAGGGGAAGUAGAAGGGAGGGACUGCUCUAGGAGGGAGAAAGAAAAUCAAUAAAAAUGUAAAUCUGGUUGAGAAAAGCUGUCCCAAGCUGGCUGUGGGGAGAGAUAAGACUGGGCUGGCUGAGCCCUGGCUGACAGUGGAGGAGAGAUUGGGGACAACGGAGCUGUGGCCAGGGUAGGGCAAAGGAGGUGUGUUCCUCCCUCUGUUGUCACUUCCCCCUCCGACUCUGAUGCUCUAUGUGUUUAUGAAAUUUUUUCAGGGACAGAAGGGGAAGGGAGCUUACAAAUCCUGAUCAUCAGGUGUGGUGCCUGUGAGCAUGUACAUGAUCUUACCCGGUCCUCACAGCUUCUGGGAGAUAGGAGCUAGGCAUGCUCAACCUCACUUGCAGGUGAGCAAACUGAGGUGCAGAGAGGUUAAAUCAUUUGUUCAUCGUCACACUGUAAUAAGUGGCAGAGUCAAGAUUUGAUCCCAAGUCUGACUCUCUCCACAACUCUAUAAUCUUUUCACUCCAUUAAGGGCUUUUGACUGGGGACCUGGGAUGCUUAGGAGGUCUACACCCAGGCAUCAUAUGGUCUUCAACCUCUGAAAUCAUAUGCACAAUUGUGUAUAUGUCUCUGUGUGUGUGUUUUGUUUUAUAUUUAGUGGAGAGUCUAUGCCUUUGAUUGGAUCCCCAGAGGUGGUUUUCACUUGCCCCCCAUUGCCUAUACCAUGUUGCCUUCCUGGAGUUGGUGGCCUUUGAGCUGGGCCUGGAAGAUUGGGUAGGACUUUAUGAAGUGGGGAUGGAGAGACAAGCUGUGCGAUGGGGAUGAAGAAGAUAACCCAGGUCAGAGGGAACAGCAUAAGCAAAGAUCUUGGCUCAACCAAGAGGCGGACUCACCGUGAUGUGAAUGCAGCUUGAGCAUCCAGGACUCUCCCCAGAUCCAGGGAGGGCCUCAGCGAUGUGUUCACGUUGUCAUAUUUUUAUAAAAUUUGCAAAGGUAAGAUACUUUAACCACAAUCAAAAUUACUAUUUUCUUCCCACUCCAACUUCCCUUGUGUUUCAAUUUUCCUUUAUGUGGGAUAAUUGGAGUGGCCAUGGGCACUUCUGGGAUCUGACCAAGGGGAAGCUGAGUGGGGGACUGAUUUGAGUUGGGUUCACUGGGAUAUGUUUAUGUGGUUUUCUGAAACAGAGGAUAUAUUAAUAUUUAUGUGGUUCUCUGUGUAUAGAUAAAUCAUUGCUAGUAAUCUCUGUGUAGAGAAUAGCUUCUAGGAAUUCUACCCACUGCCCAGCUCACUUGGCAUGGUGAUAUUAAGUUGCCAUAUGCAGAGGUCAUAUCGUGAUAUGAAUGUGUGUCAUGGCACCCAGCCCAGGAAGUAUAUGGGCAGUAGACAAGAAACAGGAGAAACCAGGUUUGAAAUGUACAGAGCCAGAAGCUAGUCUGUGGAAAAUUCUUCUAAUCAUCAGGGGGAGAAAAUGUGUCUCAGAGGUUAAGCAGGGCAGUUAAUAAAAGUAUUACGCAUUUUGGGGGGAUUGUGUGAUGUAUCUGUUUUGAUUUCUUUUCUCAUUAUAGGUAAAUAUAGGUACCUUGUACCUAAUUUUAUAUUCAUAAUUUUGUAUAUUUUUCUUAAAGAGGGCUCCUCAAAUUAUAAAACCUUCAGUUCCCACAAGGUCUACACAUCCAACCUUGGCUCCAUCAUUUAUUUUCUGUGUGAUCUUGGGGAAGUCACUUGUGCUUUCUGAGCCAGUUUCCUCUUCUAUAAAAUGUGAAUGACAAUUUGGACAGGUGAGGAUUCAGAAAUCCUCAUGACCUUAUUCCAUUUUUGAAACCAUUAGUAGACGAAGACACUCAAACAAAAAUUAGACCAGAAUAUAAAGAUUGGAAAAGAUGUAAUAUACAAGCAAUAAUGGUGAGCAAUGAAUCCAGUAAAACCUAAAUCUAAGUUAAUGGAAAUGAUGUGGUUGUUGCAAACCUCUAAUGCAGUUUAUGAAGAAAGAAUUUUUGUAAUAGAAGAGACAUUAUGCAAGAACAAAUUUAAUAAUAAGCUGUAUCUAUAAUUCCAGACUUUUUUUCCCUGCAAAACCUGGGAAACAAGAGGGAUGAAGGAAUAUAAACAUCCUAAAAGCCUCAUAUUGUUGAAGGAGACUUUGAAAUUCUUGGCGUUGAUAGAUACAUGCUCAGAUAUUUAUUAAACAUUUACAGAUACCAACCAGCAAAAUAAAAAGGGAAUUGGAACUUCUGUACCUCCCUUUUCUUUUAUCAUGUGGGAAAGUCUCAAAGCCCUGGCACUGGGAGCUGCUCAGAAGGCAAGGGCCACAUGUGCCCCCAGCUUCCCCCCACCCCCAGCACAGGGCCAGGAAGCCACUGCUGGUGGCUCCCUGUCUGCUGCCUCCCGAGCAGUAGGUCCCAGCGAGGUGGGGUGGUAAUAGGUUGGGCUGGGAGCAGAUUAGCAAACCCUCUCCUCCCCGCAAGGAAAUAACCAGGCCAGAUAAGACUAGCCAUAAAACAAAACAAGGGCUGAUGUAGAAAAGGAUUGGAUCAUAAGACACGAGCAAG
rnacentral:lncRNA from 1 species